rnacentral:rRNA from 1 species
UACGUAGGGUGCGAGCGUUGUCCGGAAUUAUUGGGCGUAAAGGGCUCGUAGGCGGUUUGUCGCGUCGGGAGUGAAAUCCACUGGCUUAACUGGGGGCUUGCUUUCGAUACGGGCAGACUGGAGGUAUGCAGGGGAGAACGGAAUUCCUGGUGUAGCGGUGAAAUGCGCAGAUAUCAGGAGGAACACCGGUGGCGAAGGCGGUUCUCUGGGCAGGUACUGACGCUGAGGAGCGAAAGUGUGGGGAGCGAACAGG